rnacentral:rRNA from 1 species
GACGAACGCUGGCGGCGUGCUUAACACAUGCAAGUCGAACGGAAAGGCCUUUUCGGAGGUACUCGAGUGGCGAACGGGUGAGUAACACGUGGGUGAUCUGCCCUGCACUCUGGGAUAAGCCUGGGAAACUGGGUCUAAUACCGGAUAGGACCGCACUUUAGUGUGUGUGGUGGAAAGUUUUUUCGGUGUAGGAUGAGCCCGCGGCCUAUCAGCUUGUUGGUGGGGUAAUGGCCUACCAAGGCGGCGACGGGUAGCCGGACUGAGAGGUUGGUCGGCCACAUUGGGACUGAGAUACGGCCCAGACUCCUACGGGGGGCAGCAGUGGGGAAUAUUGCACAAUGGGCGCAAGCCUGAUGCAGCGACGCCGCGUGGGGGAUGACGGCCUUCGGGUUGUAAACUCCUUUCGCCAGGGACGAAGCGUUUUGUGACGGUACCUGGAGAAGAAGCACCGGCUAACUACGUG